rnacentral:rRNA from 1 species
UGACUCUUUAAGGGUCCUGAAGGAACGUUGAAGACGACGACGUUGAUAGGCCGGGUGUGUAAGCGCAGCGAUGCGUUGAGCUAACCGGUACUAAUGAACCGUGAGGCUUAACCUUACAACGCCGAAGGUGUUU